ACGAGGUGGCUGAAAAACGUGCGCACAUCGCCACAGUGUUCAGGGAAAAAUAGCAUCGAAACCCCCUAACUGAGUUAACGGCAUAAAAGGACACCUAGCAGAUAAGAGACUGCAGAACAAAAUAAACCGGAAUGAACUCUGAGGAGCGCAUGGUUCCCGCAUGCGUGCGUUCCCGCGUGCGUGCGUUCCCGCGUGCGUGCGUUCCCGCGUGCGUGCGUUCCCGCGUGCGUGCGUUCCCGCGACAGACAAAGAAUAUUGCAAGUUCUCUUCAUCUGAGUGCUUAACGGUUUGCAACUCGAAUGGUCGUGUACAGUGUGUGAGCACCGGGGAAACUAAGGCUACGAAAUUCGGCAGGAGAGACCUGAGGCCAGGUGGAGACUUCUACUGCAUCUUGGCCUCAUUUACAUCGUUGGGUGGUGGGCGCUUCACUUUUGAGUUUCCAUGUUCCGUUGGAUUUCGUUAGUAAUACAGUAUAAAGUGUUCAUACAUUCACAUGAGCUCCAACUAAGUGCACCAACGAGACAUUUAAAUCCCAGCUGGGUAACAUUACGUUUGUGGGGUUUUGGGUUGUUUUAUUUACACUUGUUUGAGAGAAUAAAUGUUUGUUUAUUGGUUGGUGAAAGGCCUGUUGUGUAACUUUUUUGAGGUUUAUGUUAUUGUGUUGUACGAAUGCUUUUACUAUUAGGUGGUUAUUAUUUUUGAGUGAUAGAAGAGAACAAUUAAAGAAACACUGAAGUCUGAAGCCCGAGGUUAAAUACAGCAGUUUGGGUAACUUUGGUAGUACACAUUAUACCUUUUUAAUAAAUUAGUAAAUUAUAUGUGCCUCUCACGUAUAAAGUUAUUUCCCUAGACAGAUUAGAGCCAGUUAAUCAGUGAGAGGGCUACACAGCAAUACAGUCCCAAAGCACGAGACUACCACCACCAUGUAGUGACGUGACGUACGGCGACCCAUACUCAGAAUUUGUUCUCUGCAUUUAACCCAUCCAAAGUGCAUACACACAGCAGUGAACAAACACACACACGGAGCAGUGGGCAGCCAUUUAUGCUGCGGCACCCAGGGAGCAGUUGGGGGGGUUCGGUGCCUUGCUCAAGGGCACCUCAGUAGUGGCCGUCCGGAGACUCGAACCCACUCUAACCAUCAGGCCAAGACUGCCCCCGUGUUUCACAGAAGAAUCUGUCUGACUAUCGAUUUGGGGAGUCCAAACACUUUUGAGAUAAUUUUAUAACCUUUUUUGUAACCUCAACCUUCUCGCUGGAUUUUGCCAUGAUCCACUUCAACAGACACGCGUCAUGAACAUCAGACUUUGAUGCUAAUCCUAGAGGUUCACAUACUUUUGCCACUCACAGAUAUCUAAUAUUGGAACACUUUCCUAAAUAAAGAAAUGACCAAUUAUAAUAUUUUUGGCUCACUUGUCUGACUAGGACUUCUUCACUUUGUCUACUUUUAGUGUGAAAAUCUGAUGUUUUGGGUCAUGUUUAUGCAGAAAUAUACAAAUUUAAAGAGUUCACAAACUUUCAAGUGACGCUGUAUACAGUAUGAUUGUGAAAUAUAGUUGUGUGUGUGUCUGUGUGCUGAAUUCUGCUUGUUUAUUAGCUUCGACUACAUGUUAUGGCACACUUCCUAUCAGCCCCUGGGAAUCACAUGUUCGCUGAACACUCAUACUCGUUUCCUGUCUAAGUUACAGAUUCUGUCUCAUUCUUUGUGUUUCUGUAUCACUCAUUCUCACUCAUCUUCUACCGCUUAUCUGAACUUC